rnacentral:rRNA from 1 species
AAGCCCACGGCUCAACCGUGGAGGGUCAUUGGAAACUGGGGAACUUGAAGACAGAAGAGGAGAGCGGAAUUCCACGUGUAGCGGUGAAAUGCGUAGAGAUGUGGAGGAACACCAGUGGCGAAGGCGGCUCUCUGGUCUGUGCUUGACGCUGAGGCGCGAAAGCGUGGGGAGCGAACAGGAUUAGAUACCCUGGUAGUCCACGCCGUAAACGAUGAGUGCUAGGUGUUAGGGGUUUCCACCCUUAGUGCUGCAGUUAACGCAAUAAGCACUCCGCCUGGGGAGUACGGCCGCAAGGCUGAAACUCAAAGGAAUUGACGGGGGCCCGCACAAGCGGUGGAGCAUGUGGUUUAAUUCGAAGCAACGCGAAGAACCUUACCAGGUCUUGACAUCCUCGGACCACCCUAGAGAUAGGGUCUUCCCUUCGGGGACCGAGUGACAGGUGGUGCAUGGUUGUCGUCAGCUCGUGUCGUGAGAUGUUGGGUUAAGUCCCGCAACGAGCGCAACCCUUGACCUUAGUUGCCAGCAUUUAGUUGGGCACUCUAAGGUGACUGCCGGUGACAAACCGGAGGAAGGUGGGGAUGACGUCAAAUCAUCAUGCCCCUUAUGACCUGGGCAACACACGUGCUACAAUGGAUGGUACAAAGGGACGCAAAACCGCGA